GACGAACGCUGGCGGCGUGCCUAAUACAUGCAAGUCGAACGAGUGGCGGACGGGUGAGUAACACGUGGGAACCUACCCAACAGAGGGGGAUAACGCUUGGAAACGGUAGCUAAUAACGCAUACCAUCGGAUGUGCCCAGAUGGGUUUAGCGAGCAGGUGGGGUAACGGCUCACCUAGGCGACGAUCCCUAGCUGGUCUGAGAGGAUGACCAGCCACAUUGGAAUGGAGACACGCUCCAGACUCCUACGGUAGGCAGAAGUGGGGAAUAUUGCACAAUGGGCGCAAGCCUGAUGCAGCCAGGCCGCGUGUAUGAAGAAGGCCUGCGGGUUGUAAAGUACUUUCAGCGAGGAGGCGUUACUCGCAGAAGAAGCACCGGCUAACUCCGUGCCAGCAGCCGCGGUAAUAC
rnacentral:rRNA from 1 species